rnacentral:lncRNA from 1 species
CGCUUUGUACAAUGAGGUGAUAUAAUCCAGAAUAAUAUAUAUAUAUAUAAUUAUGAUAUAUAACCACUAAUUCAGGAAAGUAAUACAUAGUUGGCACGAAUUGAUUCCUACAUAUAAAAGUUACUUUUAAAAUAUGCAAAAUAUUUUGAUAAUUUUAGUAUGAAAUAAAGGUUUAUGACCUAGGGUUACAGUUGAACCCUGGUUGACUGUUUAUUUUCAAUAAUACAAAGGUAAAAUGAAAUUGAAAUAGAAGAGCAUAUGUUCUCUGUUUCUGGUGUCCUUUUAUUUACAUUUAAAAUAAAAUGGUAAAUAUAUCACAGAAAGCAUAUAAUUAUAUGAUAACGUUUUUUUUUCAUACCAAUAGAUAUGUGUUGGUGACCUUCUGCUGUUGU